UAGGCCGUAGUGGUGGGGUGUGGCGGCAACUGAUGCUGAUUUGAAAAUCGAUUAUGAAACCGAUAAUCAAUUCUCAGCACCGUUGCCGCCGAAGUUUUAUCACAGAUUGUGAUAAUUUUGUAGUGGGGUGUCGGAGAACCGCACUAAUUACGAUAAUAACAAUGGGGGGGGAAGAAGGGGUUAAAGAAAUGAUAUCGAAAAUUCAGAAAGUGCAGUGUUGCAACACGUAGUCAAUUGAGGAAUAGAUAAAGAGAAAAGGUAAACAAUGCAUGUGCUUUGCGUGGAAAAUAAGUGGAAAUACACUAAAUAAAUAGAGACAAGCACUUGCAGUAAUAACAAUACAGGUAAGUAGUAGACUGGAGUGGAGACGACGGAAAAACAGGUAAUAAAAGAGAUACUACACUGGAACAAAGACGAGACAAUACAGCUACAGGGAAGACUAGAAGCAUCGGCCGGCAUAGCAAAACACAAUGCUUGUAAAGACAUUGCGUUGCAUACCGGCCGACCCCGUCGUCCCCCCUGGUCGUCGAGAUUGGCGUCAUCCAGAGUCGUCAGAGGUAGCUGCAAUUAGCACCUCGUCGUCGUUGUGGCUUUGGCUGCCCUCUUGGAGAACCAGUGGCACUGGUCCGGCCACCAGUUGGGAGCCAGGAGUAGACGGCACACAUAGUACUGUGGCGACACGGGUCCGGCCGCCAAAGUGAAGUGGAUGUGAGUGUGUGUGUGCGUCGGCAAUUGUGGCCCUAAUGUAGAGCAAGUGGCACUGUUCCGGCCACCAGCUGUGGGCAAUGGCAGACAACGACACACAUCUACUCGAACGGCACAGGUCCGGCCGCCCAAGUGUAAUGGGUGCUUGUGUGUGUGUGUGUCUGAGUGGCUGGCGGACCAUAGGGCACUCUGAAUGCCAUGGCACUGGAUCCGGCCACCAACUAAGGACGAUGGCGUUGGCAUAACUCGAACGGCACAGGUCCGGCCGCCCAAGUGUAAUGGAUGUGUGUGUGUGUGUGUAUAUUUCCUUUUCCAGGUCCAUAGGGCACUCUGAAUGCCAUGGCACUGGAUCCGGCCACCAACUAAGGACGAUGGCGAUGGCAUUUCUCGAGCGGCGCAGGUCCGGCCGCCCAAGUGCAAUGGAUGUUUGUGUGUGUGACCAUAGGGCACUCUGAAUGCCAUGGCACUGGAUCUGGCCACCAGCUCAGGGCAAAAGCAGACACCUCACACAAGAUUCGAGCGGCUCGAAGCCAGCCCCCGAUUUGGAUUGGAUGUAGUUGCGUGUGUAUCUGCAUUUGGGUUUGUAAGCAAGCAUCAGCGCUCUGCAUACUGGCGGCUCUGAUCCGGCCGUCAGUUUUUGUUGUUGUGUGAGGCAGAUUUUCAUUGGUGUUUGGUCUAAUGGCUUGUUUUCU
rnacentral:sRNA from 15 species